rnacentral:rRNA from 1 species
UACGUAGGGUCCGAGCGUUGUCCGGAAUUAUUGGGCGUAAAGGGCUCGUAGGCGGUUUGUCGCGUCGGGAGUGAAAACCUACAGCUUAACUGUGGGCUUGCUUUCGAUACGGGCAGACUUGAGGCAUGCAGGGGAGAACGGAAUUCCUGGUGUAGCGGUGAAAUGCGCAGAUAUCAGGAGGAACACCCGGUGGCGAAGGCGGGUCUCCUGGGCAGUAACUGACGCUGAGGAGCGAAGCGUGGGAGCG